GAAGCGGUCAAAGGUCAUGACGGGGCCGAAGUAGAAGAAGGGCAAGUAGAAGUUGUACUUGAGCAGCUCCAGGAUGCUGAAGUUGCCGUCUCUCCGCUCGCAGUUCUCCAGGGCGAAGCUGCAGCAGCGCAUGAUGGUGAAGCCGCAGCCGCCGUAGAACAGGACGUGACGCAGGGGGAAGUCGCCCGCCACCAUGCCCGCCUGGACGCACAGCAGCGGGAUUAGCACCGUCACCUCCGCCAGGGGGGCGAAAAAAUGGUUGCUACGGUCGGAGUGGCCCCGCUCUAAUAUGCAAAUACAUUCAGGAAGUGACUUACCUGCCAGGACAGGAAGGGCUCACACCUGAAGGUGGCCAGCGUGCAAAGUCCGGUGAGGAAGCAGAGCCAGCGGGUCUUCACCAGGGAGACGCUGUAGAGCAGGACGCAGUGGGACAGGAUCAGGCUGACGUAGGUCCAGCCCAUGCUGGUCCACACGGCCAGGACCCCGUAGACCAUGUGGACCAGGGACCUGUACUGUACAGCACCUGAGGAGCCAACAUGGAGCACAACUUGGCAAACAGCACGUGUCCCGACAGUGCAAACAGGAUGUGGGCCCGGAAAGUCCAAAACCACAUAGCCCACUCCGAAUCCCCCGUGUCCUGGGGGCAGUGGAGGUAAGAAGGAGCUAAUUAGACGUCAACAAGGAGCAGCUGCGUGACGCACGAAGACCUCCUUGAGGACCACCAAGAAGACCA